UACUAAAAUCACGAACUAUACAGACAGUUUCUGGAAAAGUAAAUUAAAUGCUCGUGACAGAAAAUCAGAUUUUAUUAAAAGGAUGAAUUUUAUGAAGGUGUACACCAAUAUGAACGCUUGCAACGAAAAGCGAAUAUAAAGAUUGUUUUAAUAGAAUUCAUAUGAAUGCUAAAAAGAAAUGAGAGCGGAUAGACGAUUUCGCACCAUCAAAAAGUAAGGUCUUACUGCG